CAGAGUUCAUGCCCUCACGGGUAGAUCUCCCACCCUUGAAUACUUUAUACCUUAGUUGCUUUGGCAGGCCGUGGAAACACCAUGGGCUCCGGCUUAUGUGUGCCUGCCAGAGGAAAUCAACUCUGUUUUCAGUGAUGUCUGAGUACUAUAUAAUAGUUA
rnacentral:misc_RNA from 1 species